UGGGGAAUAUUGCACAAUGGGCGCAAGCCUGAUGCAGCCAUGCCGCGUGUAUGAAGAAGGCCUUCGGGUUGUAAAGUACUUUCAGCGGGGAGGAAGGCGAUAAGGUUAAUAACCUUGUCGAUUGACGUUACCCGCAGAAGAAGCACCGGCUAACUCCGUGCCAGCAGCCGCGGUAAUACGGAGAGUGCAAGCGUUAAUGGGAAUUACUGGGCGUAAAGCGCACGCAGGCGGUCUGUCAAGUCGGAUGUGAAAUCCCCGGGCUCAACCUGGGAACUGCAUUCGAAACUGGCAGGCUAGAGUCUUGUAGAGGGGGGUAGAAUUCCAGGUGUAGCGGUGAAAUGCGUAGAGAUCUGGAGGAAUACCGGUGGCGAAGGCGGCCCCCUGGACAAAGACUGACGCUCAGGUGCGAAAGCGUGGGGAGCAAACA
rnacentral:rRNA from 1 species